CUGGUUGAUCCUGCCGGCGGCCACUGCUAUCAGGUUCCGACUAAGCCAUGCAAGUUAAGGGGUCGCAAGACACCAGCGAACCGCUCAGUAACACGCGGAUAAUCUAACCCCAAGUGGGGUAUAGCCUCGGGAAACUGAGGGUAAUUCUCCAUAGCCAUUAUAUGCUGGAAUGCUUUGAUGGUGAAAGCUUCGGCGCUUGAGGAUGAGUCUGCGGCCUAUCAGGUAGUAUGUGGUGUAAAGGACCACAUAGCCGAGGACGGGUACGGGCCUUGAAAGAGGGAGCCCGGAGAUGGACUCUGAGACAUUAGUCCAGGCCCUACGGGGCGCAGCAGGCGCGAAAACUGUGCAAUGCGCGAAAGCGCGACACGGGGAACCUGAGUGCCUUGACACAGUCAAGGCUUUUAUCAAGCCUAAAAAGCUUGAUGAAUAAGAGCUGGGUAAGACGGGUGCCAGCCGCCGCGGUAACACCCGCAGCUCUAGUGGUGGUCACUUUUAUUGAGCCUAAAGCGUUCGUAGCCGGUUCUGUAAAUCUUCAGAUAAAUUCAUUCGCUCAACGGAUGAUCUUCUGAAGAGACUGUAGAACUUGGGACCGGGUGAGGUUGAAUGUACUUCCGGGGUAGGGGUAAAAUCCUGUAAUCCUGGAAGGACAACCGGUGGCGAAGGCGUUCAACUAGAACGGAUCCGACGGUGAGGAACGAGGGCUAGGGGAGUAAACCGGAUUAGAUACCCGGGUAGUCCUAGCUGUAAACACUGCCCACUUGGUGUUGCCUCUCUGUUGAAGGGGGGCAGUGCCGGAGCGAAGGUGUUAAGUGGGCCGCUUGGGGAGUAUGGUCGCAAGGCUGAAACUUAAAGGAAUUGGCGGGGGAGCAC
rnacentral:rRNA from 1 species